rnacentral:lncRNA from 1 species
GUCCCGCUUUGAGGGACUAGCAGUAACCAUAUAUGCAAUGUUUGGUGGGUCUUGAGCUUUAAUUGCUCAAAACAUUUGGAAGUGACACCCCCUACGCCUCAGCCCUUCAGUAAAGAAGACUUCAGAGCUAGCAGUUCCCGAGGUGGUUUGGGUAGGAUGACAGUCUGAUGUGGUAAAACCAUAGUUCCAAAGGUUGCACACAGGGUAAGCCAUAUCUGCUACCAUCACGGGGUUUUAAACCUUGCCUGUGAGAUUCCUAGAAAAUUGCAGGUUUAUAUCUGGGGAGAGAAUGAGGCCAAACUCAGAGGUCAUGUACUCUUGGGUCUCAAGCCUGGUUUAUUGCUGGGUUAUUAUUUGAUAUCUCUGUAUAAAGGGGAUAUUGUCUCUGCAAAGACAGCAAGUUUUAUGAACCAGGCUGGAAUUCUUGACUUAGCAAAAGACUUUGCCACAUCCCAUAGUGUCUGUCUUCCUAGCCUAUCUCAAGCUGACAGCAAAGCUAUGGACACAGGUUCAUUAUGAAUUUAGUUCUAAACUCACUGUGGGGGCACACACCUAUAACCUGCACCCAAGGGGCUGAGAGGCUGAAGCAGGAAAGUCUCCACAAGUUUGAGGCCAGCCUGGUUUGCAUGUUAAUGCUUAAAUCUUUUUUUUUUUUAAUCUUAUUUUAACAGGGUGGUGGUGGUGCACACCUUUAAUGUCAGCACUCAGGAGCCAGGGAGGCAGGCUUAUCUCGGAGUUCCGGGAACAAACCAAUGUGGGUAUUUAACUGCAGAACCCCUCAGGAGGGCUGGGAGAGUGCCCCUUCCACUUUUGGAGUGUGACACCCAAACUGCAGCAAAACCUGGAGCUUCCUGACGAGAUUACGACCAACACAGGUGGACACAGAGAGAGAACAGCAGCCUCCUAGUGCUACGCCGUACCUGUGUCUACCCUCCCUCUGUGUCUCUCAACACAGAAGUGAUAAUGCCUGUGAAAUCAGACUGUGGAAGUUGCCAUGGUUUCAGUUCCCCCUUCUCCAUAAGGACAGCACCUGGUAGUGCGCCGACCCUAACCCUAACCUAGCCCUAGCCCCAGCCUGGCCACACCCCGCAUGGGAGACCCUGAGCCAAAACCACCCCAGUCUGCCGACUGCCCACUCUCAAACGCUGUGUGAGGUAACAGAUGUCUGUUUCAAGCUCCAGGGCUGUAAGGUCAUUUGUUGCCUGGCAGUAACGAGCUGACACACCAUCUGCAUUGGGGUAUGUUUCUUUACUGUAAUAAAAGACGGGAGACGGCUCACUGUGGAAAGACAAAAGCUUCGUGGACAGUUUUGGAGGCUGGAGGGCGUGGCAUUGGCAUCCACUCUGCUCUGGGGAGGGCUCUGUGGCUGAGCGUGCGCGCGCGAGUCUGUGCGCGUAGGCGUGU